CUGAAAUGAUUUCUGUUGAUAGAUGGCUUCUAAU
rnacentral:sRNA from 1 species